UACCGUAAACAAAAUAUUAUAAAUGCAAAUGUAAAGUCAAAUUCAUUACAAUUCUAAAUCAGGGACACCCCCUAGCAUUGGGGGGUUUAGCUACUCAUAUUGUUUAAAACCAAUUCAAGAUAAAAAUUACACAUUAUAAGUAAUUGGAUGACAUUGAUCUUCAAUCGCUCCCGCUCAUGAAUCUCUUCAGCUCUCCAAAUGCCUUGAUCUCUGUAAUCCUUGAUUGCUUCACAAUACUGUGGUUUGCUGUAUUCUAAGAUGAUUUUUCCUUUGGUAGAAGACCUCUUUUUAUAGUGAAAGUUCCCAGCAGUAGUUGGACAGGUCCAAAGAUGUCUCCACAAAGCCCGAAGAAUGAAAAGCCUGAGAAAAUUGGAAAUAUUGGGCUUGGGCUGACACGGGUGGCCGUGUCAGCCUACUGCUUCUCCUGACAC
rnacentral:lncRNA from 1 species